rnacentral:rRNA from 1 species
AUUGAACGCUGGCGGCAUGCCAUACACAUGCAGGUCGAACGGUAACAGGUCUUCGGAUGCUGACGAGUGGCGAACGGGUGAGUAAUACAUCGGAACGUGCCUAGUAGUGGGGGAUAACUACUCGAAAGAGUGGCUAAUACCGCAUGAGAUCUACGGAUGAAAGCAGGGGAUCGCAAGACCUUGUGCUAUUAGAGCGGCCGAUGGCAGAUUAGGUAGUUGGUGGGAUAAAAGCUUACCAAGCCGACGAUCUGUAGCUGGUCUGAGAGGACGAUCAGCCACACUGGGACUGGGACACGGCCCAGACUCCUACGGGAGGCAGCAGUGGGGAAUUUUGGACAAUGGGCGCAAGCCUGAUCCAGCAAUGCCGCGCGCAGGAUGAAGGCCUUCGGGUUGUAAACUGCUUUUGUACGGAACGAAAAGCCCUGGGUUAAUACCCUGGGGUCAUGACGGUACCGUAAGAAUAAGCACCGGCUAACUACGUGCCAGCCGCCGCAGAAAAAC